CUUCACCGACCCCAGCCACAACGGCUCGUCCCCUGGCCUCUCCCGCCCAUAGGUCGCCAGCAACGCCUGCGCCUC
rnacentral:antisense_RNA from 1 species